AACUAUUAAGGUAGGGCAUUCGUAUUUUAUGGUAGGGCAUUGCCCCACAAUGCCCCCUCCUAGCUACGGCCCUGAUUGAAGAUCCAAAUAGCUGAAUCUCUGAACCAGCACCAAAAGCUAUACUGUUUUCGAUAUGAGAAAAGAACAUCAUAUCGUAUUAAUAUCAGUCAUAAUAUAUUUGUAGUUUUUUUUAAUCAUGUCACGUAAUAGUGACGCCAUUAGACUUGAUGAAUAAUAUUGAUUAGUCAAACAAGAUACAUCAAACAGUCGCCAGAAUUGUGCCCUUUCUAGACUAUAAUUAUUCAAAAAUAUAUUCACAAACGUCUAAGCAGGCGAACUCUUGGAGUUUAUAUACUACUGGAACAUAAUUAUUACCUACUCCAUGGGCGAACUACAUUACAACUAGCGAAGUGAGAGGUUGGUGUUACAUUUGUGAUACAAAUUACAUCGUACCUAAGGAAUGUAUGACGAUUUUCUUAUUAUUGUUGUAUUAAUUCUUUAACUCAUAACAAACGUAAUGCGAUCAUACACUAUAUUAUGCUUGUUCUCCAUUGUAGCAUGAACUUGGAAUCAAGUAAGAAUGUUUGAAACAUAAAAAUUUGUCGUAAAAAAGAAUUAGGUGCCAGUGAUCAUUAGUGUGUCUAAAAACACCGAGAAAGUGACGGGAAAGCAAAAUUAACAAUUUCGUUUACUUGGACGGCACAAUUGUUUCAGUUAUUGCCGUUUAAAAACCAAACUAAUGAACCAAUUUUAAAAAUAUAUCUGUGGCACCAAUCUGGAAGCAAUCCCUUUCAAACAAAAAAGACUUGAGAUAAAAACAUACGCCGAAAUGACAACCUACUCUUUUCAUGAAGUCGGUUAAUUUACACCAGAAGGCCGUGGCGCUUAUCAUUGCAAAGUGUUAAGUUGCGAAACAAAAUAUUUACUACUCAACAAUAACUAUUAUGUAUUGGGUAUUAAAGAUAAAAACUGCAAGGUAGAUUUUCUAUCGUUAGUAAAUCCUAAAGUAACAACACGUAACCUACGUAAUCUUAAAGUAAUAAUACUAUAAUACAGCAUACGAAUACCUAGUAAAGGUCUUUCAGGUAUGGGAGUGUUUAUUUAUUUACUUGUUUGGCUGACACAGAGGUUGUAUGAACUGCCGAGUCCGCCUCCAGAACCUCAAGCAACAACUCCUUUCGAUCGACAUCUUAAGCCGUCGCCGGUUGUCCAGGGAUAAAAUGAUAUCUGAUUUUAUAGCUUAUGUUAUCUACUUAUUUAUAAGCAAAUUUUAUAAUUUUUCAAUGAUUAAGUAAAUUAUAUUUGAAGUCGUA